rnacentral:rRNA from 1 species
ACCGUGCGAAGGUAGCGUAAUCACUUGUCCCCUAAAUAGAGACUAGUAUGAAAGGCAUCACGAAAACUAAACUGUCUCCUUUUUCUAAUCAGUGAAACUAAUCUCCCCGUGAAGAAGCGGGAAUCCACCUAUAAGACGAGAAGACCCUAUGGAGCUUUAAACAUUAUAACAAUGUCUAACUUUUUUAACCACACAGUGUUUACAUGUUUUUGGUUGGGGUGACCACGGAGUAUAAUAAACCCUCCGCAAAAAUUCUUCAGUAAGUUACAACUUUAUGCAUCAUUUAAAUGACUUCAUUGACCCAAUAAUUGAUUAACGAACCAAGUUACCCUAGGGAUAACAGCGCAAUCCACUUCAAAAGUUCCUAUCGACAAGUGGGCUUACGACCUCGAUGUUGGAUCAGGCUAU